UGUCGAAGCCGUCAAAAAUAAACCUAUUAAACAAUCAACAAUAAACUUGUAGAUAGUGGCAAUAGGGUCGAACCACAGGGAAUUGACACUAAAGAUCUUCUUAAUAAUAACCAAGAUAAGUAAAUAACAAAUAAUUAAAAGAGGGGGGUUUUGAGUUGAUGGAUUAACACUAAAUAACAAAAGAAAGCAAUAAUUUAAAGAUGAGUAAAUCAAUAAGAGAGAAGCUUCUAGUUGAAGUAUGGAUCUUAUUUCAGAUUGUUUAGAAUUGAUCAUUGAUUCUUUAACUCUCCUAUUUAUUCCAAUAAAUUAGUUUUGGAUGUGGAAGACGCUUCUCACAAUCCAAAUUCCUCCUUAGUUCUAGUUUGAUUAGGAAACGUUCGCUAAUCAAACACUAAUCAACAAGUUGCCAAGGAACGUCCUUGGGGCAUUGUAGCAUCGAACAACUGUUGACUGCAUUAAGACUUAGAGAAACCCAAUUCUAUCCUUGCCAACCGCGUGGUCAAGUUUAGAUUAUGCAAUUUGAUUAAAUGUGUAUUUGAACAACUUAAGCAAUUACGGACCUAAAUCAUUCAAACAAUAUUACUUAAGCAAUUUAAAAGCAAUGGGCCUUUAUUGAUUCUAAAAGCAAAGUAAUAUUUAUGGAAAGCUCAAAUUGCAUAAAUAUUGAAAAUAAAUAGAAGUUUAACAAUGGAGAUUUAAAUCUCCCAAUUCAUCACAAAAUCUGAAAUUCACCAACUUCAACUAGAAAAGAAAGUGUUUAGCCACUCAUGGUGGACUAAAUACACAAAAAGAUGAAAAGAAAAGAAAAAGGAAGAUGCUGGAGAGUUUCUGGCGAGUUGAGUUGCUGAUCCAAGGAUGCUUUUGCUGGUUUUGAGACUCCCCUUUUAUAGCUGAAGAAUUCUCUAGGGUUUUGAAAUCCCUUUUUGAUUUGGUGUUGGACUCCUCUUUUGAUGUUGAAUUUAAUUGCAAUUGGAUUUCCUUGGAUGAGAAGCUCUUUCGUGGCUCUUGGAUUUGUGUUGGAAGUGAUUGGAUUGGAUUUGGACUUCUGAAAAUUCGGAUUUCUGUUUGCUGCCCAUUUUCCCGCUCUGCUGUAAUUUUCUGCUGUCAAAGUGAUUUGCCCAGCGAUCGGGUCAGUUUCUUCAAGUGAUUGGGCAAAUCGCUGACCAGAUCGCUUCUCUGUGAGCCAGUCCUCUAUGUCUCUGUGAGUGAUUUGGCCAGUGAUCUUCGAUUUUCUUGGGCAAAUCACCUGCCCAUAUUACUGCUGUCUGUUGCCUCCGGUUUCUGCUUUAGCUUGAUUUGGGCGGUGAUUGGAGCAGAUUUUUGGGCAAAUCACUGGGCAAAUCAUCCUUUUGUAAAUUUCUGCACUUUUUCUUCCAUUUUCCAAUUUCUUCCUUUUCUGUAAAAACAAGAUAAUAACCAUAAAUUAAGCUAGAAAAUGUGUAAAUAAGCAAUAAAAAAGAUAAUAAAAAUGUGGCUAAAUUAUGCUUGAUCA
rnacentral:lncRNA from 1 species